rnacentral:lncRNA from 10 species
CAGACCCUGCUCAGCAUGAAGCAGUUAUAGAAGACAAGAUUUUCAUUCCUUUCUCCCCCUAAGAGUAAUGAGGUUGAGGCCAGGUGUGGUGGCUCUUGCAUUAAUCCUAGCACUUUAGGAGGCCGAGGCGUGUGGAUCACCUGAGGUCAGGAGUUCGAGAUCAGCCUUGGCAACAUGAUGACACCCUGUCUCAAUAAAAAAUACAAAAAAUUAGUCGGGUGAGGCAGCACAUGCCUGUGAUCCCAGUAUUCUGGAGGCUGAGGCACGAGAACUGCUCGAACCCUGGAGGCAGAGGUUGCAGUGUGCCGAGAUGGUGCCACUGCACUUCAGCCUGAGUGACAGAGGUAGACUGUGUCCAAGAACCUGAUCAAGUCCACCUGCCUGAACACAAGACGGACUCCAGUGCUGACCUUUCACUGACUUUUUUUUUUCAUUAUAAUUUCAUUGUAAUACUAAAAUCUCCACUCAAGAUAGAGUUUAACCCUCAUUUUCUGGUCAUGUGAUGCUUGAGUAUGAGGUACCACUGCACAAGUGAGAAAAAGACCCCACCUAGAGACAUUUCUAUGUCAC